GCACCGCUGACGAGUCCUAAACAGGACGAAACAAUUGUCCCGUGC
rfam:Echinostoma caproni strain Egypt genome assembly, scaffold: ECPE_scaffold0000723